UGGUGUACAAUGCCAUUUGGCGUGCAUCAUCCUCUUAUGCAUAUAUAUACUCAUACCAAGUUUCAAUGAAAUCCACAAAAGCACUUCCAAGAUAUGGCUCCGGACACAAAAGUGCCGGACAGACGGAAGGACAGCCGGACGGCCGGACGGACAACACCAAUAACAAUAUCCCUCCGCCUCUGGCGGGUGAUAAUUAGAGAGCGGACACUGCUGUGGACGCCGCUGCCCCCUGCCCGGCAGUGGGUGAAACUUUAAUAUGUCCAGUUUUAAAAAAGUGGCGUAUAAUUACAGAUCUUAGUAAGUCCCCUUGCCUCACUACACAAUAAUGUACUGUCACUGCAUGACCAUGAUGUUACUUCCUGUGUUAAAUGUUUAUAAUUCGUACUUCAGAUUAAAGCACUGACUAAAACAAUAAUAGUAUUUAAGCAAGUAAAACAUACAUAAACUGACACGUUUGUAUGACAAUUUGCUUAAUAAAGACUGGCUUCCCACAUAAAAAGCCCCCAAAUAUUGAAAUCCCAUAAUGCUUUUAUUAUAACUAGCUCAAGUUUUGGUUACUUAUGGUUGCUUAACCAGUUUGCAUUGAUCCAACAAUUUAAUUAAAUAGGCUUUGGAAGUUUUUUUUAUUUCCUUGUAAUGCCAUCCCACCUUGAGCUGCAGGGACAUCAUUCAUUUCAAUAAUAUUCAAAUAAGAUCUGUUUUCUGCAUACUGAUGUGAUGUGAAACUUACUUUAAAGAACUGUUGAAAUCCUGCUGUCCAUGGUAGAAGACAUAAGCCAAACGCUGGCGUUAUACAACGUAAAGCUACUUAGAGAGUGAAGAAGACGUUCUCGUCGAGUGCAAGGCUUUGUGAUAUAGAUACUUCAGAGGCACAUGGACGGAAUGAAGUCAUCAACUGAGGUGAUUGAGUAAUACAACUGACAGCCAUUUGGGUGAUCUUUCCACCUAUCAAGAUGCCCCACACCCGCCGAUGCCGUUUCAAAAUGUUUAGGUCUACAAGGACCAGAAGAGAGCCAGAGAGAUAAGGCCCAACAAGGCUCUUCGUAGGUCGAUAAGGCAUAGAAAGGCACCAGAGCGUUAUGGGGAUACAGAAAAGAACGACACAGACCAAACCAUGAUUGAGAUGUUCGCUAGACCGAGCAGUCUACGUAGAUCGAACAGGCACCGAAGAGCACCAGAUAGAUAUGGGUAUACAAAAAAGUUAAAUACAGACUUUAAAUGUUUUACUUAAUUCAAUGGUUUUGGAGAAUAUGGAUGUUGAAAUGGCCAAUAAGUUAGUUGCGGCAAUAUUUAUGUAAAAAAAAUGACAUAAUUUGAUGUGUUUUAUAUUGAUUUUAAAUAUGUGUGUAAACUUGUAUAUACCGGUAGCUUUAACAAUUACAAGUACAUUGAAAUGAUUACAUCAAGGAAGUAUUAUCUAGACAUUAUUUUCUAUUCAGUUUCUAUUAAAUAAAUUAAGUUUUUUUUCUGACAAAAGGAAUGUGGUUGCAGUAGUGUAAUGGGUUAAAAGUUGUCAAGAUAAACAACAAAUUACUUUCAGCAUCUUCAAAUGCAUAUAGUAUUAUUUAUUGGAUUCUCCAAUUGAAAAAUAUCUCUACAUUUUUAACAAGACCUUUCUAAUAAUUUGUGUAACACUGAACAGACAAUUCUUUUUUGAUAAUGUACAUGCAAAACAAUAGUGUUCAAUUUUAGGAACAUGAAUUUAUGAAAACAAUCUUUCUUAUUAAAAUUAUUAAAGCUAGUAACCUUUGUGCAACCAAUAAGUCUCUGUUCAUUUGUUUUUAAUAAUUUUAAGUCAAUAAUAAUCAUUGAAUAGUUACUCUAUAAUGCAUUAGGAUUGAUCUUAAUUAAAAAUCUACCAGAAAUAUUUACCACUGGAUUUUUUUUUAAGGGGGAUGUCUGUCAUUCAUUCUGUUAAUCCUAUGAUCUCCAAACAUAUUUGUCUGGAUUAAACAAUCAAACUUGACAUACAAACUACUACAUAAAAGUGCUUGGAAUGGCUUACUAUGCUGGCAUCACUUGGAACCUUGACACAUUUUGACUAAAUCUUUAUGUUUGUUCAAUUUGAUAUAUUUUUUAGUUGUGCAAGGGCAGCUAAUUAUUAGUUGGUGCUUGUUAAGGUGCUGCAGGUAACAAUUACAAAUGCUUUGUAUUAUCUAAAUUACAGUGUAAAUUAAUGUAUGUAGUCCGUUUGUUACUAACAAGAACUUGUCAUUCAUCCUACAAGAGUAUUUUUCUUUUUGGCUGAUUUUUGGUUUUCCAUUAUU